rnacentral:rRNA from 1 species
GCGACCCCAGCUCAAGUGAGAAC